GAUGAAGAACGCAGCGAAAUGCGAUAAGUAGUGUGAAUUGCAGAAUUUAGUGAAUCAUCGAAUCUUUGAACGCACAUUGCGCCCUAUAGUAUUCUGUAGGGCAUGCCUGUUCGAGCGUUAUUGAGACCUCAAGCUCUGCUUGGAAAUGGGCGCUUGUCUUGCCUUGCAGACUCGCCUUAAAACCAUUGGCAGCUGAUUUACAAUGUUUGGUGCACAGUACAUGAGCCCAAGUGUUGCAAUGAGUGGCCCAAAAGUAUACAAUAGAAGCUUAACCUCGGAUCAGGUAGGGAUACCCGCUGAGCUUAAGCAUAUCAAUAAGCGGAGGA
rnacentral:misc_RNA from 1 species